CCCAUCCUGGAGAGGAAGAUGGGGGGAGGCGGGCGCCAGGAUGUGGGGGUGGGACAAAAGCAGUGGGUUGGUGGAGGCCAUUUUGAGACACAAGCAGUCAUACAGUUUGGGAUGCUGAAGUUGGUAGCUAAAUGCUAACUUGCCGUGAGUUCAAAGUCACAAAAUGUCACCUUUUUAGCAUUCAACCAUUGUGGGAGAAAAACAUGACGAUGCUACACGAACAAGCUAAAUGAAUCUCAGGACUCGGCAAAGAUCACAACAACUUCCUCCCUGUGAGCCACACUUCCUGUUUCCUGCGUGUGUGGGCGACGGAACGGACGUCAGGAAGGAAAAGAAUCGGGGUGAUCGGCGUGGGUGUGGAGGAGCGGCCCCGUUGCCAUGACGACGAUGCACCGGAACAGCAAGGGAGGGGGGAAGCCCUCUCCGGCCUAUCACAGCUCACCUGGUGCAUGAUGGGAGAUCAAAUACUCCAUUUGAAAUGACUCCUGUGCCGCUACUACCAAAGUACAAUGGUGCCUUGAGAUGAGAGGCCGCGUUGUCACUUUGACAAAAAUAAUAUGACUCAAUCUUCGCUCAAGUAAACACAAUAAAAACACUGUGCGUG